AUAUUAUCUAGAGUCCCGACUUAAUGGGUUUGCUCUCUUUCGGCCUACAAGCUAAAUUGGGAGGAUUUUGUCCAUAAGGAUAAGCAUGUGUUAGUGGUCCCGUGCAUUUCUUAUGGGACCAAGCCAUUAUGAAUGUAGUUGUUAUGGAAUUUGUGCCCACAUUGCUCGACCGCGGGGGAAAAAACUAUGAGGUGAACUCAGACGUUCAAAAAAGAAAUCCGUUGAAUUCAAAAAUUGAAAAAUGAAUGCAAUAUUUUUAGAAAAAUGAAUUUUACAACUUCUUUUUAGUGAAAACUGUGCUAAAAAUAAUAUUUGAAUGCUUUUGGCAAACAAAUUCUAUGAUUUGUAUGAAAAUUUUAGCUAAAAACAGAAUAAAUCAUGCCGAAAGUAUAGGCGCACCCCAGAACUGCAAUGCGAACGUGGCCCAAUUUGAGUUGUACCCAGUUUUGACAGAUCAACAGCGGGGUAAGUAUUUUGACAAUUCUACGAAAAUGUAAACAAACCAAAAUUCAGUAUCAAUAAAGCAAAUGAAGAUAAAGAAGAAACCAAGGAUUACGUUGCAACAAGAAAAGUGGAAGUGGAAGCCCCGUGUAGGAAGCCAGCAACGCCGACAUAUUUAUUGUGGAGUGAAUAGGUACAAAUUGAAGUAAAAAAUUACACUGCUCAACAAGAUUGGCGAUCAAAUCGCUCUAUUCUGAUGGCUUAUAUCCUCAUUGUUAAUCCUGUAGGAAUGAGAAGGGCCGAUUACAGCGAAGGGAUCGAUGUCGCAGAAGUCUGAAAAGCUUCGCUUUGCAACCUAUCUGACAUGCUUCAUUUGACGAGAUGGAUAUACAAGUCGAGAGUUGUUAUAAAGUUGAGGAAUCUCUUUACUUGGUGGUCAUUCAUAGCCAAGCCAAAUACAAAUAGAAGUUCAAUUAAUUGCAGCGUGUGAUAGCAGUAGCACAUUCACGUAAUGUGCCACCAUCUUUGCAAUGCAAAGCACUUCUUUCAGCCAGCUACGGAU